CCAUAAAAAUAAUUACUAUAAAUUAUUUUCAAAGCAAUUAGAAAAGAUGUAUGUCUUUGAAAAAAUACUAAGGGAAAUUUCAAAGUAUUUUAAAUGCAUUCAGCUACUACUUCGAAAAUAAUCUAAAAACAAUAAUAAUGAUGACUAGCAAUGAUGUCGAAAUCAAAUUAUCAUAAACAUUUUACCUUGGAGUAAUUAAACUGAUAUUCUCGUAGUUGGGUGGUGGGACAAUAAAUAAAAACAACGGUAAGUGAAAGUCAAAUUCCUGUUGCAUUAGAAGUAUUUCAAUUAAAGUGUUCAACAUUUUCAAUACAAGGUUUUGGCGAGUUCGGGUUACUGUCAAAACAAAAAUUAAUGAUAAAAUGGAUUAAUAAGCGGAAACAGACAUCCCUGGAGGUGUGCCAUUGUAAUACGACCCUGGUCUGGAGCCAAAAACGUCGCAGACCAAUGUAACUCACUUGAAUGUCCGUACUUUAAAUCUACUCUAAUUUUGGCUAAAAACUAAAUUUAAAAAAAAAACCCUAAGGAGGAAAUGCCAACAAACCCCAAAUUCUCCAAAGCUUUGCCAUUCCCAUUCGUCUAGCGGCGCAUCUCUGAGCCCGCCAUGGCUCUGUUAGAUGGGUCUCCACGAAAGAGGCCGUUUAACCUUGAGAAAUUGAAAAAUAUUGGUAAGGCCUAUUUAUAAACUAAUCUAACUAACUAGAUAUGAUCUAUCAAAAUGGAAUAUGAAACGAUUUCUAACGACUAAUACGAUUAGUAGUCACCUAGUACGAUAAGUAGUCACCAACUACUAAGACACUCUUGAGUUACCUGAACUGAACUUAUUACGAAAAGAAAACUAAUCGAUUCCAUAAAUACUCUUGAAACUAAAAAUACAUAUUUCUGGCCCAUGUUGGGCGCCAUUUUGUACCAACCAGUGUUUUAUUGGGAAACCACAAACCGCGGCAUGGCUUACCACUCUAGUACAUUUUGGUUGACAGAAGAAAAGAAGUCAUACCUGUCUUAUCCCAACUGAAUGGGUUUAUUUGUGUUGUGAGGAACCUGAAAUAUGUCUAUAACAAGAAAAAGGGCUAUAUAACCCUAACAUUUAUACCGAACUCACCUUUAACAUUUUGAUUAGGACAAAUAUCUCCCUUAUUCGAAUCAGGUUUCCCCUAGCGGCUAUCCGUCUAGGCAAACUGCCCACCCACCGAGAUUACCUCUCGCCAUGACACCCCUAUUUACAGGGUGCCCCAUAUUCGACCCCUUCACAUACCUCUCUAUCUCAUCGCUACCACCUCUUUAAAGAGCUUUAAGCCGAACACAUCGCUUUCAAUUUGAAUUCUACAAAUUUAUCCAUGCUUUUGUUUAACAAAUAAAUCUUAGUGAAAAUUAUAUGAACAUAAAAAGCAAGGUAUGAACAAAAAAAAAACAUAAUACAUUGUAAAAAACAUUGAUUUCAUUAAAAUAUUAAUAUUCUUUCUUCUCUCUUCUUUUCAGGCCACCUCUUUCUUUUCAGGUAACUUCAUUUCAGGCAACCUCUUUCUUUUCAUAUAGUUUCUAUUCAGGCUGGCGGCUAAUGAAGAUUUUUUUAUUUGGAUCUGGAGGCGGCUCUUCUCAAUGUAAAAGGUCAAACAAUGCAGAUCAUGGCCGAACCCUGAGUGGAAUCCUGUACCCAAUGUGCUGUCGUCCGUCCAAAUUAAAAGUACAAUGUCUAUGGGAAUUAUACCAGGGGCUUGCCAGACUGACAAAGCCGCAAUUCUGCGCCUCUAACGUUGGACUAGACGGUGUUGGCGUGGCUCCCGAUGUAAACUUUAAGAUUGUUACCAAGUUUGUUGCGAAAUAAAAGAAAGAGCGUUACCGUAUGUUGGAUAAGUUGUGGGGUAUGUUCAGUGGGUUAGCGAGAGCUAAAGUAGCCGCUCUGUACAUCUGAAUUUUAAUGGCUAUAUUCUUUGAUAUGUAGUAAACUAAAUGUAACUGAAGCCAUUUAUAUGUGCUUUAAAAUGUCGUGAAAAAUUAGGAAAAAUAGAGGAAAAUGGGAACCCUUAUAUAAAUCAAAAC